GUACUCCAGGACGCUGUGCUGCAUGUUGGGAAGGGUGUUGUGGCACAGCGUCUCCUCCAGGAACAGACGGACCAGCGGCGCCUUGAAGGCCUCGUAGCCCAGCUCGCCGAGGGACUUUAGGAUGCGAGUGAUCCGCAGCAGUUUGACUCCGUAGAAGUCCAACAUCAGGGAAUAGGCCGCCAGGAAUCUCCGCUUAGCUUCCCGAGUGCUUUGGAAUUCCUGAUGGGAUUAAACGCAGCAGAUCAGAGACCAGCUGACAGGCUAACGUUAGGCAGCUGAGAACUUCUCAGGUUCUUCCCGAACCCCUAGACAUCGUUGUGAACAGUAACGUUACAUAGAAAGUAAAGGUAAAAGUAGAAAAUUGUACACUUCUUAGGACAGCUUGCAUUCAAACGUGUACGUACUGUAGGGAGAUGCCACCGCAGUCAUGGCGACUUGUCUACUUGCGGUAUUUCCCCGGAUUUGUGUAUACAGAGAGCAUCUGUGAAUUGCGUAUCUACAUUUGUGGGUAUCAAUGGCACAUUGUUCUUUGUUUCUGUGUGUGUGUGU